rnacentral:rRNA from 1 species
UACGUAGGGUGCAAGCGUUAUCCGGAAUUAUUGGGCGUAAAGAGCUCGUAGGCGGUUUGUCGCGUCUGCUGUGAAAACUGGAGGCUCAACCUCCAGCCUGCAGUGGGUACGGGCAGACUAGAGUGCGGUAGGGGAGAUUGGAAUUCCCGGUGUAGCGGUGGAAUGCGCAGAUAUCAGGAGGAACACCGGUGGCGAAGGCGGGUCUCUGGGCAGUAACUGACGCUGAGGAGCGAAAGCGUGGGGAGCGAACAGG